rnacentral:rRNA from 1 species
UACGUAGGAGGCUAGCGUUGUCCGGAAUCAUUGGGCGUAAAGAGCGUGUAGGCGGUCCGGUAAGUCCGCUGUGAAAGUCGGGGGCUCAACCCUCGAAUGCCGGUGGAUACUGUCGGGCUAGAGUGCGGAAGAGGCGAGUGGAAUUCCUGGUGUAGCGGUGAAAUGCGCAGAUAUCAGGAGGAACACCUAUUGCGAAGGCAGCUCGCUGGGACGUUACUGACGCUGAGACGCGAAAGCGUGGGGAGCAAACAGG